rnacentral:rRNA from 1 species
UACAGAGGUCUCAAGCGUUGUUCGGAUUCAUUGGGCGUAAAGGGUGUGUAGGUGGCGCCGUAAGUCGGGUGUGAAAUUUCGGAGCUUAACUCCGAAACUGCAUUCGAUACUGCGGUGCUUGAGGACUGGAGAGGAGACUGGAAUUCAUGGUGUAGCAGUGAAAUGCGUAGAGAUCAUGAGGAAGACCAGUGGCGAAGGCGGGUUGCUGGGCCGACACUGACGCUGAAGUGCGAAAGCUAGGGGAGCGAACGGG